GUGAAAGACAUGGAGUAGUGUCUCCUCAGCCAGACCACAUCGUGAGUAGAUCUUAGGGACAUCCAUACCCGGACGGGAUAACAUAAUUAAGCAGGGUGAGAACAGAAUAUCAGAUAGAGAUCGCCACAAGAAAUGGCGCACUUUAGGAAGCAACUUUUAGCCUUAGCCACGAACUUGCCUCCAAUUCAUAAGAGACGGGAGAAGAAGUUGUCGAAGUAGGGAGGACCGAGAUGAAUUGUGCUUUUGACAUCUGGCAAGAGGGAUUUUGGUAACAUUAAAUGAAAGUUGAGAGAUUUUUUUGAUAGUAAAUUUAAGUUAAGCGUCAAAAAUAUGAUAACGCCAAAGUUGAAAAAUGGCGGUAAAAAUUAAAAAACAAUUAUUAUUUAAUCUAUAAUUUGAUCUGUUAUCUUCUACAAUAU
rnacentral:misc_RNA from 1 species